rnacentral:rRNA from 1 species
AUUGAACGCUGGCGGCAUGCCUUACACAUGCAAGUCGAACGGCAGCACGGGGCAACCUGGUGGCGAGUGGCGAACGGGUGAGUAAUGCAUCGGAACGUACCUUUCAGUGGGGGAUAACGUAGCGAAAGUUACGCUAAUACCGCAUAUUCUGUGAGCAGGAAAGCGGGGGAUCGCAAGACCUUGCGCUGAUUGAGCGGCCGAUGUCAGAUUAGCUAGUUGGUGAGGUGAAGGCUCACCAAGGCGACGAUCUGUAGCGGGUCUGAGAGGAUGAUCCGCCACACUGGAACUGAGACACGGUCCAGACUCCUACGGGAGGUAGCAGUGGGGAAUUUUGGACAAUGGGGGCAACCCUGAUCCAGCCAUGCCGCGUGAGUGAAGAAGGCCUUCGGGUUGUAAAGCUCUUUCGGCCGGGAAGAAAUCGCACGGGCUAAUACCCUGUGUGGAUGACGGUACCGGAAUAAGAAGCACCGGCUAACUACGUGCCAGCCGCCGCCGUAAAAC